rnacentral:antisense_RNA from 1 species
AUUUAUUGGAUUCCUCGGGGGCGCAGGGGGCAGGCUCGUCACUGCGGAGGAUCCUGGCUGGGCCGGCCUGGGAGAGGCAGAGUCUGGGCAGCAGCUGACACAAGACCAGUAGUGAGAGGUGCCCGGCCCUCGGCCACGAGGAGGGAGACGGUGGGGGUGGAGCAGGCCUGACCCAGAGGGAGGUGCAGGCCGAGGAGAAGGCCUGUCACUCUUCAACACGCUUGGCCAGGUGUGUGGGCUGCCCCUGCUCCCCCCCUGAAGCCCCAGGGGGGCCCUCCUGCAGGGGGGGCCCUGAACACCCCACGGGGAGUCUCAGCAUCCAUCUAUCUGGCAGCUGGGAGCUCCGUUACCUGCACAAGGCGUGGUGGGAGCCAGAUGUCCGAUGUCCCGGAAUCCAGAGACGCGGGACGGAGCCGGCUGGCCCGAGGAACAGAAGCAGAUCCGCCAGAACGGCCAACAGUCCGGAGGACAAGCGCUGCUCACCUGAGCCUCCCUAAAGACCCCUACCCACGGUGCUGAUGGGCAGUGCCGGGGGCGCGGAGAACAGCGGGGUCCGGGAUGAAGCGGCCUUUCCUCUGGGUGGGAAGUUCCCGGGCUCUGCAGCACCCAACGCCGCCGCCCCAGGCCGCAGGGGCAUCGCUUCCCCGCGUCCCAGCGCCUCCGUGGUGAGUCGAGCCGCAGCGCUCUGGGUCGGUGAAGGUGGCUCAGCGCGGGCGCUCCAGUCCCGACGUUCC